GGAUGGGAUGCUACUAAUGGUCGGGAUAG
rnacentral:tRNA from 1 species